rnacentral:lncRNA from 1 species
GACGCUCUUCCGUUGGAUGAAAACAAAGUGUGUGUGUUUUACUCGCUUUGAUGUGAGACGGAAAAGAAAAGAGGGAAAUUUGGAGGAGAGCGAACCGUGACUCAGUCCUCCCUCUCCGCUCGUACUUCACUCACAUUCGUCGUUUCGCCGUGUCCACUGAGUUCUUAAAAAGGACAAACUUGACCCUUAAAAACCUGCUCUGCUCGCUCCUCUUAGGCAGCGUUUCCAUCGUAGGAAUUUUUGAAGCGGCCUGUAAAUUUCAGAGGCUCUGACCCCCGUUUUUAUUCCUCCGAGUCUAAAUUAUGGGGAGUAUUAAACCUGACUGGAAUGGAAACUGAUGAUCCCCAAUGAAAAGCUGUCACUGCUGUUAAGUUUUCUGCAGGAAGAUUAUAGAAAAAAUGUCGUUUUUUCCACAUAUGAGCAGAGAAAAUGUCUUUUUCUUUGGGAUUUACAGUUCCUGAUCGUCUCCUCCAGGUGGAAAUGUUGAGGGAAUACAGACACCACUAUAAAUGGACUCUGUAGUUGGAUUAAGCUUAAUAACCACAAAAGCUGAUUUUCAUUCAGUCAAGAAAAAACAUCCCAGUUCAGUUUUGAAGAACUUUUAAGUACCGGUCUUCAGAAACUUCUGUGCACACUAAUGAAUAAAAAGGGGGGAAUAAUUGGUACCAGAGCAGAGCUGAACACUGCCGUUAUUCUGUCUCUGAGGAAAAUCAGCAGGUCCAGACCGCCCAAUCUGAGAAAAUCCAUCAACACUCAUCAGUGGAAACUGGAAAGGACUCAAAGUUGUUCUUAAAAGAGAUCGAUUCACUUUGUUUCCAUCAGAGACGAUGGAAACCGUCACACGUUCAUGCGCCGUUAGAUAAUAUUUAUGGAAAUUCACGCAGACGUUGGAAAUUUGAUUGGCUGCGAUAAUAAAGACUCGACUCAGAGUAAAAUAAAUAUAUCAUCUCUGAAGUGAAUCAGUACGAAUCACACUGAGAGACAAACUGGGAGGCCAGGACCGUCUUUAGGAAAAUCUACGACCUCAGAAACAAACCUUAUCUCAGUCCAGACCACUUCAAUCAGGAAAAACUGUUUUCAGAUAUUCAGCAGAGUGUUUCUGAUUCUGAGGGCUCCUCGCUCUUCCACGUCUACAAACACCAACAACAGAGCAGCAGCAAAGACAUAGAGGGGCACAGAGCAACUUAUAUGACACAGGUGAAAUCAGACAUAGUGUAAGGAGGAGGAGCUUCAGUGAACUGUUAUUCAUCCUUCUAGAGCUGCACGAUUUUGGCCAAAAAACAAAAAAUUUUCCUGGAAACUCAAUUUUUUAUUUUGAUUCUUUAUUCAGCGACAACUUCACCAAACUUCACUUUAAAAAUACAAAGUUUUUCGAUCAUCUCUCAAAACUAAACCACUGAAAAUGAUGUAGUUCAUAUGCCGAGCCAGUAAGUGGCGCUGUAACGUUUCACAGGAAAUGCACAAAAGACAGAAGAAGAGUACAAAGCAUGUGUAUAAAGGUUGUUUUGGCCGGACACGCUCAGGCGCCAUAAAAGAAUUACGCUGUGUGUCACAUGAUCGUUUCCGGAGAUGCAGAUAGACAUCCACACAGAGAUAAAAUAGUCGUCGUUUACAGAUUUAUGCACUCUCUGACCCGUAGAUGAAACGCCGAUACUACUCCUGAAUUUGUUUCCGUGGUGACAGGUUGAUACCGCCUUCAGACAGACUUUGCAGCAGGGAGUGGUUUGCUCUUCUUCCAAAACUGCGAAGUCGUACCAAUUCAACACGACUGACUCGCUCUUGUCCUAUUUAACAACGAAAUUAUUGCCUUCUUUUGCAAACGCCAUGUUUGUUUACACUGGUGUGUGUGGGAACUGGGGAGCCUAUGGUGGCCUGGAGCCGCGAGACAUGAUAGAGAGGAAAACUGAUUCGAUUUUUUAACAUCGUCAUAAAUAAUCCAAUUAUGGUCUAAAAUCGAUUAAUCGUGCAGCCCUACUUCCUACAUGUUGUAGAUAAGACGUAACAGGACCUAAAGAUUAGGCCUUAAAUUGUUAAAAUGUGGAAACCUUCAGUCAUGUGUCAAUUAGAGCACAAAAAAUGAAGACAUAUAAGAGCAUCUGGGGGAAAUUAUCUCAUUAAAAUGACUCAAAAGACCCUAAAACUAAAGUUUACUCACACAUAGACAUCUGAAAAUACGACAACUAUCUAAGUGGUGAACCUAAAAUAGAAACUAAAGCAGCUGGUUGUACUUAGAAUAACUGCUCCAUUAAAACGGAGAGUAAUCUACUCUGUUGGGAAGCUGUACUCUGAUGACCGCCUGGUUAUCUGGCUGCCUGUUUUUCUUUUUUUUUACUGGAUUUUUCCAGAGUAACUCUAAGAGGAAACAGCAGCAGCAGGAAAAGCCGAGGCUGGAGCUGAUAGGGACGACAGUGGGAGUGGGAUGACACAGGUGGUGCUUCCAUUUGACUGGGGGUGGAAACGCAGCGUACAAAAACACAUGGAGAGUGAUAUUAUUCCAGAAGCUCCCAAUAUUGACCUUUGACCUUGUCUUGGCCUGUUUAAAUUGAAGCUAAAAUCUCUUGGACACAUUUGUGGGACAUUUGCGAGGUGGACUACGACAGACAUCCAUUAAUUUUGAUCGUAAGGCUCAGGAUGACACUUUAUAAUCAAACCAAACGAAUCUCUGUGCGACAGGCUUGAAUGGGAUUGCUUAUGUGUCUAUCUUUGAGCGGCCUCCACCUUUAUUUUCAUUCACUGUGUUUGUUCCUGUUUAUUCUCCGAGCAGAUCCAAAGUGCAGACCAUUAAAGGCGGCCCGAGACGACCACAAACACCCUAACAGCACUCAGGAAAACAGAUAAAACCACCACUUUCCUGUCCAAAAUCACAAAGCACUUUUCCUAUCAAGAAACGUCUGGUUUCCCAAAAGCACAGCCGCGCUUUUUGUCCUUUUAAGGAUGAGGCAGCAGCUGAAGACGAAACUCUGACACUGAGAAAUCAUCCGCAGAAUUUUUCCAUUUUUUACUGUUUAAUCUGAUCAAUUAUAUGUACCGAUGUAAUUGUUUAAGUGUUUUCUCCCUAUGUCAAGAGAUGUCACUGAAUUUCCUAGAAACCUCCUAAAAACACUCGUCUUUUCAGGCACAUAUUCAGAAGAAAUAAUGCUGCGUCCGAAUUGCCAAGUAGUAGUCGAAGUAGUAGUCGAAGUAGUAUCUAGCAUGUCCGAAUUGGCCACCGGAGCGAGUAGCAUGCUACUUCAGAUACUACUUCAGAUGCUAGACACGCCCACAUUGUAGGUUGGUCUCGGUGCAUCCUACGGGCAUGCUACUGACCCAAAAUGCACCGCGGGCUUCUUCUUCGUCCUCUUAAAAGUUGUAGAAGCGCAUGUGAUGCUAGCGCCACCAGCUGCUGCCUAUUUAGAUGCGUCGCGAACGCCGGCUGGCCACAGCAGCGCGCACCAUGUCGGAGCAGCAGCAGCAGCAGGCGGGACCGCAGUAGUACAGAUGUAAGUUUCAUGUAACUUCACACACUGUCCUAAAAAAUGUGCGGUUGUAUCUCUUUGUCAUGUCAUGGUGUCAUAUUUGCCCAAGUAAUCAUUUUAUGAGCAAAUAUGUGGCGACAUCAUGGAGGUAAAGCUCACUUAUUCCAUCAUUAAACUGCACAGCUGCAGUACUACAGCCAGGCCCGCAGAUGAGGGGCUUCAGUUACCACUGUCUGCACGGGCGCAGUACCUACUCUCUGCCUGCGGGGGUCGUCUUUCCCCACCGCUCGUCUAGUGUGUCCGAAUUGGGCCAACGUGUUUAGUAUGUAGGAGUAGGAUCUAGCAGGAUCAGGGUUAAACAGAAACUAGUGGAGUAAACCGAUUAUUGAUUAUGGUGAUGUGUUUUACAUGAACGCCUCUGUUCAAUGCCUCCACAUGCUGGAUAGUGUAUCAUGGUUCUCUGGAGCUCUAACUCACCAUUGUGUCUUACUCAGUAAAGUAAACUGGCCGUCUUUACAUGUGCGCCGGCUCGGCCUUUGGUUCGUGUCGAUUUAUAAGACUAUUCCUCAGAUGACUCCAUCUUGUUUAUCACCCAUUUUAAUCUUGAAUAAUAGGACCUACAGUCUCCGCCCCCAGGACUUUUAUUAUUUUACUGUUUCUAAAGUUCAGAGCAGAAAUGAGGAAGAAAGUUUUUAGAUUUUCUAGAAAAAUGAUCACGAUAUAUUUUGUCACAUCGUCCGAUCUCGAUUAUUAUCACAAUUUUUUUUUAACUGCCAGUUUUAAAGCAUCUGUUUUAAAAACUGAAGAAACUAGAGAUUAGUUCAACAUUUUAUUUACAUACAAAAUAAAUAACAAAUCAAAUUAAAUAGAUACACUUAAAAAUAUAUAAAAUACAUGUUAUAAUAACAUCUUCGGAGAAUGACUCAAAGUCAGGGCUGACAUCUGUUUGCUGCCCUCAGCUCCAUGUUUAGCUCCACUUUCGGUCAUUCUUACUUCCUGUUUACUUCUCCAGCAAAUUACAGAAGCGAGCAGGAAAAGCUCGACUCUGAUUGGCUGCUGUCACGCACAUUUCUGCUGUGUUUGCUCACAGCUGAUCACCGUGAUCGAACUGAAAUUUAUCACGAUCAUAUAAUCGCCCAGUCCUACCCCUGACUGUAUUCAAAUCCAUGAUAAACUCCAUUACAUCCAGGCGUCAGGAGUGCAAAUGUUUUAUUUUAAUGUGCUAAUGUUUGAGGAAUCUUGUAUUCUUUGUUUUCUAUAUAAUUAAUGUGAUUAUGUAUUAAAACUGUCGAUGGGACAAACCUGGUUAAAUAAAGUUAAUAAUCAUAAAAACAGGCCGCUCUUCCAAGUCGAGUCAUCUUCAUAAACGCCGUUCAUCAUCAGAGGUUACGAUAUUAGCAGUUUGUGCAGAUGAGUUUCUCCAUUCCAGGGUCGUAUCUGCAGGAUUUACGUGUUUUUAUUUGGUGUACUGAGACUCGGCUUUCGGAAACACGCGGUGGUUUACCGUGAUGAGUCAAGGUUUCUCCUCUCUGAAAAACAUCUGAUUCAUUGCAGCAUUUUUCCAACCUAGAUACAAGACUGAGAGCCAGGUGAGGGAAUAACGGAUGAAUACUCUAUGAGCUCAAAUGGACCGAAUCAGGAAAUCCAUUACAGUUCGCUUUACUUCCAUGGUGACAGAUCAGGAAAUUCAUCGUCUCAGGAGCCGCUUACAUCCUGCUGGUCUUCAUAUCAGUCGACCUACUUCCUUUAGUUCGCACUUAUCUGUUUCAAAGAGGGAUUUUCUUUCCCUGUUUCACUGCAGCGAGCGCUAAAACAAACACUUCCAACUUCAUCUAAAGUGAGAGGAAGUUGAUAUAUUUUAUUUUUUUUGCUGUUGAAAAUAUCCGGUCAAGUCUCUGGUGAGUCAUAAAGGACGGGUCGCCCCGUUCACCUCGUUGGCCAGGCUCAGAGCGAGGUUACGUAAGCUCCCACUUCAAAUGAAUCAAGCUGAAAGCAUGAGAGGAGGAGGAGGAGGACGACGACGACGGGCCUUCAGGGGAAGGAAUCCUUCAGGAGGAACAGUUUCCAGAGGAGCUGGCUGUGGUCCAGUCAGUUUAUAAAACACUUGAAGAAGAAGAGGGAGGUGAUGGUGACCCUUCAUUUAUUCCCUCAUCAUACCUCUAAGUAAGUUAAAGUUGUCCGUCGUACAGAUUUAUACCUCCUCUUCUUCAAACGGACUUUUAGCAGGUCGUUGGAUUCAGAAGUUUCAGACUGUAAAACGUUGAACAAACUCGCUCCUGCUGUGCAUCGCUGCAGGUUAUCUUAACCCGAGUACAGAGAGCCAGUGGCUCAGGGAAAAUCAUCUCAGACUUUACGAAGAGCUUAGUUUGACCUGCGUGGCCGCUCCGCUCCGCUCCGUUUGUGGGGGAUAUCGCUUACAGGUAAUGAAUGCUCCCCCUAUCUCCCAAAACCUCCACAUAAACCCUCGCCUCCUUUCCCACAGGGAUUACUAUGUCUCUGUGUGUCCGUGUUGGUGUGUACUUUCGCCCGUGUGUACGUGGGGGAGGAGAGCUGAUCUACACGUGUAUCUGUCGGCUAAACGGCGAACAGAAUGGCUGAAUUAUCUCCAGGUUACAGCGAAGGUGAAUCACGAGAGACCGAUGGGGUUAAAGUUUCCAAACUAACGUCACUCCAAACAAUAAACCGAUCAGACCCUGGCUCUUCUCCCUUCUCAGUUUCUUACUUUAUUCGCCACCCAAUCGGAUCAAUAAAAGCCUCAAAGUAAUCUCGGUUAAAAACUAGAGGAACAAAGAGAUGCCGGUUUGGCGGUGUGGUUAAAUCCCACGCCUCAUUUACAGAGGCGAUCGUCCUCGAAGCAGACGGCUCAUCCAUCAGACCCACAGCUCUUCGCCACACAUCAUUCGCCGCUCUCCCUUUUCUGUUUUUUGCUCGAUCCAUCACCCUGUCUGAUCAAUAAAGGCAGAAAAAAGCUGAAAAAUAAUCUCGCUUUAAAAAGAAUCUAGAUUUUUUAGGUUAUCAAGACUUUCCUCUCCCUUAUUUGUGUGUUUUCUGCUGUUGUAUAAUCAAAAAAGUCUCGAAAACUAAAGGGAAACUUAUUUUAAAGGCUGGGAAUCCAAAAGAUUACUCACUAAAACAUCACACCAUGAUUUAAUAAAGUUUUUCCUUGUCUUUUUGAGUAGCUAUGACGACAAAACUCUAGAGAUGCUGAAACAAAACCUCUGUUAAGUGGAGGCGAACAUCCACAGUCUCUCUAACGUGUGUUUUCUGUAUCAGACUGAACUCGGCGAGUGAAGAAACACACCGACAGUAAAUCAUCAUCACCUGAAAGCGCCCACACUGAGAGAUCCCGGCUGUCACCUCUGCUCACCUUCAUCCAGAGAAACAGAAACUCGAACGCACGCACGCAGUCGCUCUCUCUUCACAUUUAAAAUCCAAAUAAACCGUUUUUAGGAGACCUGAGGGGGCUCACGCUCGCCUACGAGGUUCUCGGGUUUCGGGGACGCGUGGGAGCUCUCACUCCAUCAGAUGAGAAACGGACUUCCUGAUGACAUCCGCAGAGAGUCGCCUCCUCUGCUCGAGUUUGAUGGACAAAACAUCCCGUCGAUGCAGUAAAUCAGAACUUUCAAAAUAUGACUUCACAGUUACCCCACCGACUGAUGAGACAGAUUAGUGAUUUAGAUGAUGUGAAAAAUGUCAUAAAAGUGAGUUGAAGGAGUAUGAUAUGAAAAAAGUUGCUAGAAUCAUCGUUAGACUCUGAAAGUCCCUGUGAUGUUGAAAACACGUUGAAAAGAUUCUUCACCAGACGUCUAAUAAACGUCCAGAUUCAGACCGUCUAAAUAAAGCCUCGUUUUCAACGUCUUCUUUUGGGACCAUGACGAGCCAACGGGAUUUAGCCUGAAAAAAGACGUCUAAAGGUCCUUAAACACCGGGGCCGACGCAAAUAUAGAACGCGAAAUCACGAAAUAUUCAGAAGCGAAUUUUGACGCGCCUGACUGUACACAUCACGCCCGAUGCGUUUUGCGAUUUUCCGGGGGGGAAAAGACAAGUCCCGCCUCCUUCACCUCUGAUUGGCUAGAAAGCUGGGAAUGUCAUCACACGCUCAAGCCAAACGGUCAGCACUUACAGCCAAUCAUAGGUGAAGGAGGGCGGGACCUUUCCUUACCAUCCUACCGCGUCCUGGGUGGAAGCGAGAAGACAAAAUUGGAGUCUCCUUCAACUUCAAGUGAUGGCGAAUUGGUACUUCUUUAGCUUUCUCAAAAGAAGAAGAAAUGUAGCACAUAGGUGCAUCCAAUAUUACAAAAAAGACGAGAAACUGGACCACGGUCGCUUCAGAACCUGUUUUUGGAUGUCUGUUGGACAAUUUGAAGUUCUGCUGAAACAAUUAACUCCAAGUUUGAAGAGGCAGAGGACUAGACACUAGACACUAGUGUUGAGAUGUCUGUCUGUCAUGAUAGCAUGUACUGAGUCAGGGUCAGUACCAGAUAAACACAUGAAACUAUGGUAACAACAGUUAGCUUAGGUUAGCACAGAUGAAAGUUAAAACAAAGACGUUUAUCAAACUGUUAAAGCUCACAAACCAUAGAAAUAUGAGCGAUCUGACGCUAUGACUCUCCACAAGUCAUCCUUCAGGUCUUUAUCUUUGUAAUGUUUGUGUAAAUGAUCAUGAACAAUCAGCCGGUCGGCCAUGUUGGAUAUACCGGUGAAUCAGGCGUCGCAACAACACGCAAUCUGAUUGGUCAGAAGUGGACACACAGUAUGCAAAACUUUAGAAAAAUCUACCGUGAUCCGAAAAAAUAAAUGCCGCAAUAUCGCAGGACGGGAAAAUGUCGCUGAUGUGAACGCUUGACAGGAUACGGGUUCGAAAAAAAAUAUUGACGCCCGAAAAAGGACCUUAAAUGACGUCAGGUGUUUGGUGGGUAAGAAGAGAUCUUCGAAAGAGGCCUUCAACCUCUCUUUGGAUAUUCUUGUAAAGCAGAAUAAUUGUUGCAGGUCAUUCAAACCAGAUGUAGUGAGUGUAACUUUGCAAAAUGUUUAAUUUCAAAGUGGCUCUAAAAAUAAAUAAAGAACACAGUGAGAUUUAUUUUCUAAAUGAGUGAGAAAAGCUGCAAAUUUGAGUCAAACUUGAAAAUCAAUUUAAAGUUUCAAGUAAUUUUAACUGAAAAAAAAUCUGUGAACUUGACACAAAAAAAUAUGAUUUUAUAGGCAGUGGUUUUUUCCCUCUGUGCACUAAGUCUGUUAUAUCUGUAGGUAAAGUUCAUAUCAGUUUGUGAAAGAUUUAAGGGGUUUUAUUUAUGACCUUGAAAACUGCAGAGCUUCAUUUCUGCCCGGGUCAGCAGGAAGGUUACUGCCCCGUGGGAUGAAGGUAGAAGAAAACAAACACGACCCUGAGGUGGAGAGAUCCCUCCAGAGUCAGAGUGUAAAUAUGACUGAGGAUAAAACAGGUUUUUUAAAGCAAAUGCACAUGUAGUCAGUGUUCAGGUCAUGACAGAAGCCUGCAGUCUGAUUAUUGUGUGAAUCUUUUAUUUCUAAAUGUUGAUUUACUGUUCCCUCCUUCAGUUUAUCAACGAGGACAAAUGUACAAAUAUUUUAUCAGUGACUAAAGUAAUCACAUAAAGCAGAGCAGCAGUUCCCUUUAUGGAGACUAGUUCAUCUCCUCUCAGUGUGUAUUAUUGGAUUGUUCUUGACGUUGUACAGUAAAGCUGCAGACCCGCCCUGCAUAAAAAUAUCCCAUAAAUGACAUGAUUGAUGGUUUAUUUGGCGUUUAGAGGAAAGUUUCAUUGUCAUGGCUCUCAAAGUCCCCCUCCAGCUCCCGAGGAGCAGCACUGAGAGGAAACAUUAGUGGACCAGGAUAUUGGCCUGGAGGGCAGGAGGAUGUUCCUCAGCCUGGCCCCUCUCUGUGGAUCUUGGCGUUUUAAAUGGAAGGUUUGUCUUCCUCGGGCCUCCGUAAGGAAGCAGCUGUCAGAGAGACCAGCUCGCUCUCUUUUAGAGAGUUCGGUUCCUGAAAUACCCCAAAUAUCAGAUCUCUCAAAGGUUUGUGAUCUUCAGCCGCGAUAAGAAGCUUUAAGAGUUUGUUGUCCGGUGUAAGCGACGCACUGACUCGACAACUUUAUGAAUGUGUGUUUGUUUUAGCGCGCUAAAGUCGAGCUUUUUACCUUUCACGUUGGCUGUUUAAAUUUAAUACAGAAGAGCUCGGCAGAGUCUUUCACCAAAGGUACGCCAUACAAUAAAAAAUCGCCAGACUGGUCGGACAUUAUAUUUGCAUUUGUUUACAAAUCUGAGUUUAAAAAUAAAAGGAAAAUGAACAAAUGAGUCAGUUUGGUUAUUUUUAGGACAUUAAUUGGAUUUAAAGGGGAAAAACAUACCGUCUGUUAUCGUGAUAUGAAAUUACUCACCGCCUUACACUAGAUGCAACAGUAAAUUCUAGUGUAUUUAAUGGCCCCCCUGCAUAUGUUGGGUCGGGCCACCCUAGUCAAAAAAGUCUAGACACGCCCCUGCUUGUCGGCCCAAACUUCAUGUUAUUUCGCUCUACAAACGAUGAAUUAAUCCAUGCUGAGAGGAGGCUACAGAGAAAGACAAGGACUCUACUUUUACUCAGGUAGACUGACGCAUUUAUCACGAAGUUGAACGUCAUGCAGAUUUGAUGUCCAGAAAGACUUUUCUGGCCUGACCGUCACGUUCUUGUCUUUGUGCAGAACAAAUUUAAAACCUUAUAGAUGCUUUCAGCUGAGCCACCCUGCUGCUUCAGGAGCCAAAGUGAGCGAGGUCAGAGAGCGUCUCAGCAGUGAAAUGUAGACAGAUGAAGCACACUGAGUGAUUCAGUGUCGAACCUGCUGUGGUACACGUGCUGUAAUUAUUUCCUUUCUCUGCUUUAUCCCUUGAGAAAGUGUUUUGUAACCGUAAAUGUGCCGUUUUCCCAUAAUUGCACCACUUAGAGCAACAGCUGAUGCAAACUGUGAACAUCACAGGAGUGAACUAUUUCAGUGUGCAGUCUGAGAUUAAUGAGGAAAGAGGCAUCAAACAAGCUUCCUCUCUCACUAAAUCUUCACAUCCGUCUCUCUCUCUCUCUCUCUCUCUAUUCUCACACUUUUCUUCAACAUCCUCUCAAAGGGAGAAAAACAUCAACAAGUAGAUCAGGAAUGGAAGGUUUUCAUUACUUUAAAUUUGGCUCCAGGUUUGAAUUUGGUUCUUAUCACUUUUGCAACAAAACAGAAACUUUUUUUUAACCAAAAAUGGAAAUAUUCAGCCUCAUAUCCUGUCCUUAAAGACAGAGUUAAUCCAGAGCAGCGGUCUCAGUUUAUCACACAUGAUUCACCCUCGAAUAUAAACAUUAACAUCCUUAAGAAGCCAGGACCUGGGCUUACAGGGCUGCAGGGGGGGUUUGAGUAAGAACAAUGGAGUCCAGACCCAGUGACACAAUCCUCCCGUCAACUUUGGACACUAACUUGUGGAGUGUUGCCACGGAAAUAAAGUCAAUUUACACUCUAUAUGCCAAAAACGAGAGGGAUGGAUUAAGGUCAAGUCCCCUGUAGACAGAAAAACUUGAAACUACAACUAGGUAUAAUAUUUCAAAGAUGAUUUCAUUUUUAAAAACAGAAAUAACAGACAAAUAUUGCAUCACUUCACGGCUAACCUGCAUUUUUAACACUGCAGCAGGUGGAAACAUCUUAAAAAAACAUCUGCAGCCUGACCAUCCAAAAGAUAUCACUUUUUUAAAGCUAAAGCAGACUGAAACAAGGCAAAGAAAGAGUCAAAAAUAUGAUGAAAAGGGGGUUUUAACAGAGCUUAAUGCCAUAAAAAUAUUUAAAGAUUAAUAAAAGAAAAUCAACUCAUGAAAAUGUAUCAUAUAUUUCUAGAAAGUGCUCUCUGCUGGUGGGUUUUCUUCUUCUCAGAGUGUCUGAGAUGUUUCUGUAGGAGGUAAACUUCAAAUGAACCCAGGCUCUCGUUGGCUCAGACAUUUAAACUCCCACUGAAACACAGAGCCGAGAGACGACGGCCAAAUCUACGUCGCAGAGAGCUUCAUGUGUUUUAGGAGCCAAACUAAACUGAGGCGGAGUCACAAAGCAGCGAGUUCUCGAUAUUCUGAGGCUUCCAGUCGGCGUGUAACUCACCUGUGCAUCUGUUUUUUAAUAUUGUGCAUCCUAUCACUGAGAACAUGAGAGUGAAUUCAACUUCUGCUCUUUUCUAAAUGACCUAAAAUAAUGCUGAUUGUUUGGCUGACAUUUCUAAACACUUCUCGUACUGCGGAGUUCUGGUCUUGUGUUUGGGGCGCGGCAUCAAAGCGGCUGUUGUUACCAGAGCGUGAAAAAAAAAAGGCUUUUCUAACAACUAAUCACAUGUCAGAUAAGGUCAGUGGAAGAUAACGGUCACAUCGUGUCCGAACUCAGUUUCUCAAACAGUUUGCCAGAAGAAAAGUGAAGCAAAGCCGCUCACAGGAAGUCCUUUGGUGAGGGGCUUUCCAGCGUUGCUAUGACACUCAUGACCACAAAUAAACUUUGACCCCUGAGCAGAGAGUGUGUUGGUGUGAUGGAGGAAAUUACAUUUUAACUUGACUGCCGUCCAAAAUGCUGACAGGCCAAAGGAGAUCUCAGGGCUUACGAAGUGUUAUCCCUCUAUUGUGUGUUUGUGUUAGUGUUAGUGUGCGCUAACUUUGUAUAUAAAACACUUUGUUGUUGGCGUGCAUGUGUAGCUUUGUCCUCCCCGCCCUGCUGAAUUAGUGUUUAUCCCCUGACCGGGUGUGAAGUGAAGCAAUCUUUUGGGGGUCUGCCCAUGUGAAUCUGGGUCCUCAGAGGGAAAGUUAAUGAGUUUUCAGGAUGGCUAACCAGCACAGCGCUGAAACUCUCUGACCCUGUUCUGAGAUCAGAAUCAGGUUUUUAAGAUUUGAUCAUCAGAACCAUCAUGGGAAGACUUUGACAUCUUUACUACACAGAGACUCCUGUAAAGAAAAUUUUACCUGCAGCAUCUGAAAACUAACCCUCGAUGUUUCCAAAGAUUGAAUUAGGGCUGGGCGAUAUGGCCUCAAAUCAAUAUCAUGAUAUAUUGAUCAGUUCACCUCGAUAACAAUAAAUAGACGAUAACUACUCCACAAGCUGCUCACCCCCUCCCACAUAAACUUCGUCUACUUCAGCUGCUCCAACUUUCUCUCCGUCCUCCAUCUCCUCUCCUGUCUUUCCCUCUUUGUUACAGACUGGAUGGGGUGGAGUCACAUCUCUGAUGUAGAACAGCGUCUUAAAGGGACAUGAGACCAUAGCCUACCUACACACAUCCAAAAACAACUUUGAUUGAUUUAUUUAUUUGACACCGAAUAUAUUGACAUGGGCAAAAUGACGUCAGUUAUUGUCGGAAAUUUUGGUGUCUGUAAAAUUUUGGUUUAUUGCCCAGCCCUAGGUCGAAGUUUUGCCAACUUUACUUAAUGUCUAACCCGGGAUAUUUAAGGGUUAAUCUGUGCUGAAUUUAUCCGGCAUGCUCCGGCGAUCCGCAGAGGAACGAAAAGAAGUCGGUGGAAGUUGACGCGUUAACUUGAAUGGUUACGAUCAGCUACGAUCGGCGGAUACUGCCUUUUUUGUCGCCAUUCAGGAUGAAGGUGGAAAUUGGGGGUUAGCCUCUUUGCGCCAAUUACCUGAAUUUACUUAUUCAUUCUGACACAUCAUCAUGGGACCAUGAAUAGCUUUACAAGUAGGGUGCCAACCCCCCAACAGAUGCUGCCAAAUCUGAUAUAAUGAAGAUUUUUUAUUUUUUUUUGUAAUUGCUAACAGAGCUUUAAAAAAAUUCAAGGGUUCAUCAAAGCCAUCGAGGAUUCGUCCUCUGGGAACUACGAAUGUGAGUCCUGAAGUUCAUGACAAGUCACUCAACAGCAGAUGGAACAUUAAACCACAUAACAACACGAAGACGAGAGGAGGGAAUUCAGAAGAUGUGUCAUCGGGAUUCAUGCCUCUGGGACUGUGAAUGUUGACAUAGCUGAUACUUUCAAUUGUUCCUGAUCUGGAUCCAAUCACAGCAGAAAAACCAACAUGGUCGUCACUGGAGCGCGGCCACUUUUGUGAGCGGACAACAAAGAAACCAACAAAGUUACCGGCCAAGAAAACGCCAUGACACUACACAAACGAGGGAGUCCAUAUUUAUCCUGGGAUUAGUCCAAAACCUAACGUAAUGCUGAGCAAGCGUUUGGCUCACGCUUUAGUAGCCACACUAGAGACGUCAUCCUCCAGUGGGUCAAACGCCAAGCAUGACGGUCACCUGCUCAGGAAUGACUGAGUGUGACAUUUUCUGUAGGAAGUAUAAAUUCAGGCAUUCUUAAAAUGUUUAUGUCACAUUCAUUCAGAGCUCCACUACCACCAGUUACUGCAGUAAAGACCUCCCAACAUGCCGACUCUAUGCUGUCAGCUCUCCGCGGAUCAUGCACUCAUGGAAACUGUGAGAUACCACAGAGUGUGCAUCAGCAGCUCAACGAGCCACAUGAGUCGAGGUGUCUGCCAGGAAACAAGCGGGGAGCAAAAACUCAUGUUUGAAGCUACAGAAGAGACGUAUCCUGAUGGUACUGAGACGACCAUGUCUUACAACGGUCUACGAUUCAGUGUACUUCUCAUUUUGGGUGGACUCUUGGUUUGGUGCGCAGACGAGCCAGAAGAAUCCAAGGUAGCUUACUGUAUGAAUUCCACUUCCACCUAAAAUAACUCCCCCAGAGGACGAACAAUGAGCGCUUUGACUCCUGAGUGCGAUUAUGUGAUUGUCGGUGUCUGCUGAAGAGUCCGUUUCAUUGUCGGAGAAAAAGCUCGACUCUAGCUGGCAGUUUUAAAUGAAACCAGACCGAGAGUCGGCUGGCAGAGGAAGAGGGGGUCUCUGUUUUCUUGGGUGGCAUUCAAAGCUCUGUGAGCACUUACAGUUACCCCAGAAUAUACUGGCUGUCUGCAGACAAAACAUUGUUCUCAAACAUUUCCAAAUGGAGAGGGGAGGAAAAGAGAAUUGUAAACAGACACGCGGAGAAGAAGUCGUAAAAUAAAAGACAAGGAGCACAGGAGAAACCAAAAUACAGUGGAACAGGUAUGAAGUCAGUUUGGAAAUGUCCAGGUUAACUUGAAUGUUUGUCAGGCUGAGUCAUCUUAUUGAGAUGUGCGUUCAGAUCCUGGAAGUUAUCCAGCUAAGAUAGAGCAGUUAUGAUACGAUAGGAAAGAUUCAUCUUUUUCCUUUUCCUUUCUUCUUUUGUCAAAGUUUUGUUUACAAACCAGUUUCCUACCAACACAUUUGUGUAAUUCAACUUCUGGGACAAAUCCAGGCAUGAAAACACUAAAUCAGACGAAGAAUGCUACGUAAGGAAGGCCGGUUUAAGUCUGGUUGAACUGUCAAUGUGGAAGAAAAAAAACUGAUAUUAUAGCAUGUUGAAGGUGGGGUAGGCAGGAAUCCCCUGUGUCGUUCAUGAGCCCAAACAAAGUUAGCGUGCUACAAUAUCGGACAGUAGAAACCAACCAGAAAGUUCGGAAAAUUGUCUGAAUCCUCCUUUGGCCACGACUGCCGACACAAGCAAGAAAACAAAGUAAAUACCGGAGACUCUGGAGGAAUAACGGGCGCUUAAAACGGAGGUAGACCGGACAAGAGCUAAAAAGCCGGGUCAACAUAAACGAUGGGGGACGCUUGGGGAUCUUGGUGACCCUGUAACCUUUCUGCUGGACAGGUAAACCGCUUUAACAAAGUAAGACAAGUGUCUGUAACAGAAGUGUUUCUUGUCAAACGGACCUGCUGUAGCGUGUUGUAGCGCCAUCGCUAAACUGUCCUCCCUCGGGUCCUGGACUAUGUCACUUUAUCCUCGUUGUAGAAGUCCUGCAAACAUUGUGUUUGCUGGUAGUCUGUUGGCAUCUACAGUAGCACCAAUGCUUUUGACUUUCACCUUGACUGGGCCCCAUUUGUAAUGAUCUGAAGGAUUUAUCUGCAUUAUAUCUGAAUUUAAUUGGAA